AGAGUUUGAUCCUGGCUCAGGACGAACGCUGGCGGCGUGCCUAACACAUGCAAGUCGAACAAGCUGCGAUGAAGGAGGCUUCGGCCAAUGGAUUCGUAGACUUAGUGGCGGACGGGUGAGAAUGCGUGAGCAACCUGCCCUUCAGAGGGGGACAACAGUUGGAAACGACUGCUAAUACCGAUGACAUCUACGGAAGGCAUCUUCUGUAGAUCAAAGAUUUAUCGCUGAAGGAUGGGCUCAGUCUGAUUAGCUAGUUGGUGAGGUAACGGCUCACCAAGGCUGCGAUCAGUAGCCGGACUGGAGGUUGAACGGCCACAUUGGGACUGAGAUACGGCCCAGACUCCUACGGGAGGCAGCAGUGGGAAUAUUGGGCAAUGGGCGCAAGCCUGACCCAGCAACGCCGCGUGAAGGAAGAAGGCUUCGGGUUGUAAACUUCUUUUAUGAGGAACGAAGGACGUGACGGUACCUCAUGAAUAAGCCCGGCUAACUACGUGCCAGCAGCCGCGGUAAUACGUAGGUGGCAAGCGUUGUCCGGAUUUAUGGGUGUAAAGGGCGCGUAGGCGGGUAGGCAAGUCAGAUGUGAAAUCCAUGGGCUCAACCAUGAACUGCAUUUGAAACUGUUUAUCUUGAGUGUCGGAGAGGCAAGCGGAAUUCCGUGUGAGCGGUGAAAUGCGUAGAUAUACGGAGGAACACCAGUGGCGAAGGCGGCUUGCUGGACGAAACUGACGCUGAGGCGCGAAAGCGUGGGGAGCAAACAGGAUUAGAUACCCUGGUAGUCCAGCCGUAAACGAUGAAUACUAGGUGUGGGGGGACUGACCCCC
rnacentral:rRNA from 1 species